UGGAAAAAAUUAAAAAUUAAAAUCGAUAUAAGUGUUUUUCUAAGCCAAAAACCGUUUUUAUCAAUCGCAUUAUAUUAAUUAAUACGCGACGUCCGUAAACAUUAACGAGUUGAUUAGAUCCGGGGGAAAAUAUGUAUUCUUUAUCACGCCUCCUUAACACGGCUCCCGAGUCGAAAAACGAAAAUAAAACCUAAAACGUUAACGUUAAUACGCCGACAUGUCUAACAAACUUCAGUUUGUAACACCUCGAAAACCCUUAAAAUACUGUCUAUUAACGCGGAUAUUCGGAUAUGACUUCGUAAAGUCUAUACACAGAAUGCACGUACCUGUGAUAAUAAUUAUGUAUCCGGAGUGCUCCAUCUUCGGAAUCGCGUCCACGUGAAUAUGAUUACUAUUUUUUCCUUCAAUUAUUGCGAUUAGCGUUUAUUAUUACAUAUCGUCCAAAAUAUAACGAACGUCUCCCGUGGGAAACUGUUGGCUGCAGUUUAACAACUAAGUCCCAUACACUCACGUUGUUUUUAUUAUCAUGUGCACGCGC